UGGGGAAUUUUGGACAAUGGGCGAAAGCCUGAUCCAGCAAUGCCGCGUGUGUGAAGAAGGCCUUCGGGUUGUAAAGCACUUUUGUCCGGAAAGAAAUCCUUGGCUCUAAUACAGUCGGGGGAUGACGGUACCGGAAGAAUAAGCACCGGCUAACUACGUGCCAGCAGCCGCGGUAAUACGUAGGGUGCAAGCGUUAAUCGGAAUUACUGGGCGUAAAGCGUGCGCAGGCGGUUUGCUAAGACCGAUGUGAAAUCCCCGGGCUCAACCUGGGAACUGCAUUGGUGACUGGCAGGCUAGAGUAUGGCAGAGGGGGGUAGAAUUCCACGUGUAGCAGUGAAAUGCGUAGAGAUGUGGAGGAAUACCGAUGGCGAAGGCAGCCCCCUGGGCCAAAUACUGACGCUCAUGCACGAAAGCGUGGGGAGCAAACAGGAUUAGAUACCCUGGUAGUCCACGCCCUAAAACGAUGUCAACUAGUUGUUGGGGAUUCAUUUCCUUAGUAACGUAGCUAACGCGUGAAGUUGACCGCCUGGGGAGUACGGUCGCAAGAUU
rnacentral:rRNA from 1 species